CAAAAAAAUGAUUCUUGGCACUAAUUGAAUUUAAGCAAACAAUUUAAAUAAAAUAUAUUUAAAAAUGUAUAAAAUAACCUUUAUUGUUGCGAAUUACUCGUACACAACAUGAAUGUAAUGGAUCCAAAUCCAAACUGAUCAAAUUACAUACACUGUACUUGAUUUGCUGCCAUAAGGGACAAAUACAGAAGUUGCGCAUGCGCACUAGAGUGGAAAAAGAAAAAAAGAAAAAAAAAAUGAACAGAAGGCGGCAAGUCGAGUCGUUGGAGGUGCGAUACAAGUCAGCCAUUUGCGUGAACAGAUGUGGAAUAUUCGACAAGUCCUCACUUCGAUCUGACACUAUUUCAACAUUUCUGGCUCUGGUCAGGCACAAUCACUCAGUUACGAUAUGUGAGUUUUGGGAAUGUGGCAAUGUAAAGUGUGUGGCACAGAAUUAUCCAGUAGGAGGAAGACGAAUGGUAACCCUGAAGAGGCACAUCCUCAUCUAAGAAAAGUAGAGAAAAAUGUCAAGUCCGGCCAUUUUGAAGAUUGUUUUUUUGGUGUGGAUGACGAUGCAAGAAAACUUGCACUUAAGACAGGAAUCCCAAAGUCUGUGGAUGACCUUGUCCUUGAAAUAAUGACUGUUUUUGGGGUGAAGCAAAAGUUCAGGCUCCCGUACAAAGAUAAGGACUUUGGAAAUGAAUACAUGCAUCUCAUGUCAACCAGUCAAAUUGAAGACUGAUACCCUGAAAAUGAUUUUUCUAUCAACUGAUGACUCUAGCAUGCAAGAGACUGCACCUAAUGCACCAUUCCUGCUUUUGUAGCUCUGAUACUCUUGACACGAGAGAUGUUAGCCCUUGUGCUAUUGUCUCAGUCCAGGAACUUAUUUGAUGACUCUUUUUGCAGCAGCGCAGAGACUGUUUUUAUUAAAAAAAAUUCUUGGCAUCAGGUUUUUUUUGGUUCCUGUGUUCUGCUGAAAUUCAGCUUCAGAGAGCUAACACAGAGUUCAGCAACAGUGUAAUGCUCCAUGGCAGCUGAGGCAGUGAGUAGACCACUUAGUUCUGGCCUAAAUGUUGAAAUGUGAAAACGUGUUAUAACAAAAAUGUUUUUGUUGAAACCCUGUUAUGUAAAAAGU